rnacentral:rRNA from 1 species
GACGAACGCUGGCGGCGUGCUUAACACAUGCAAGUCGAACGGAAAGGCCCUGCUUUUGUGGGGUGCUCGAGUGGCGAACGGGUGAGUAACACGUGAGUAACCUGCCCUUGACUUUGGGAUAACUUCAGGAAACUGGGGCUAAUACCGGAUAGGAGCUCCUGCUGCAUGGUGGGGUUUGGAAAGUUUCGGCGGUUGGGGAUGGACUCGCGGCUUAUCAGCUUGUUGGUGGGGUAGUGGCUUACCAAGGCUUUGACGGGUAGCCGGCCUGAGAGGGUGACCGGCCACAUUGGGACUGAGAUACGGCCCAGACUCCUACGGGAGGCAGCAGUGGGGAAUAUUGCAACAUGGGCGGAAGCCUGAUGCAGAAACGCCGCGUGCGGGAUGACGGCCUUCGGGUUGUAAACCGCUUUCGCCUGUGACGAAGCGUGAGUGACGGUAAUGGGUAAAGAAGCACCGGCUAACUACGUG